rnacentral:rRNA from 1 species
GGUUGCCUACGGGGGGCAGCAGUAGGGAAUUUUCGUCAAUGGGCGCAAGCCUGAACGAGCAAUGCCGCGUGAACGAGGAAGGUCUUCGGAUCGUAAAGUUCUGUUGAAGGGGAAAAAGAGCGGAGAGCGGAAAUGGUCUCCGAUUGAUAUUACCCUUCGAGGAAGUCACGGCUAACUACGUGCCAGCAGCCGCGGUAAUACGUAGGGGGCAAGCGUUAUCCGGAUUUACUGGGUGUGAAGGGAGCGUAGACGGCAUAGCAAGUCUGACGUGAAAGCUCGGGGCUGAACCCCGGUCCUGCAUUGGA